rnacentral:rRNA from 1 species
GUCGUAACAAGGUUUCCGUAGGUGAACCAGCGGGAGGAUCAUUAA